GCAGAGACCACCUGCUUUGCCCCAUGGCCACAGACACUCCUGGGGAGGGGCAGCCCUGACCUGGGGUCCCACACCCCAUCCAAACCCUCUCUGCCCUCUUGUCUCACUUCUCCUGUAGUCCAUGCUUCCACAAUCUUACAGCCUGCCUGUUCAACAAACAGUUUUACUUUCCAUCUGCAACCACAUUUUAAUUUUAGCAGUGAAAUUAAUUUUAAUGAAUGGAAACCCCCGAACGCCUUGUUAUAUGCGCGCUCAUGUUCCCAGAUAAGUGUCAAGUAGGAAUGCUUAUGGUGGGUGAGUCAGUUAACAUUUCACAGUUAAUCCAGGAAGCCCAGAUUCUAAACCCCUGACUCCCCAGGGUGCUGAACACAUCCCUUUCUGUAAUUUAUCUAGAGGGAAGGGAAAACAAUUUCGACAUGUGUAUUUUAUUUUGCCACAUGAGGAGUACCUCCCCAGCCUGUAGAGUGGCCUCAACCAGCUGCAGCCCACUGGGGAGCCCCAGACCACCCGAGCAGAUGCCAUGAGCCCUGCCUUUGUGGUGAAUCUGGUGUGGAGACUAAUUGCGUUGCCUUGAAUGCAGAGCACAGAGAGUACCCAGUCGUUAGAAAAGGAAACUGAAGGCAUGCCAGCUGUUAGAAGAGCUUAAGCCAUCCAAGGCCCAAGUUCCAAAGAGCUCAGAUAUUUACCCAAUGAGAUUGACACCAAGAAGGAUCAUCUCCUUGUUGAGCUGGAAGGGCCCUGGAGAGCUGAUCCAAUCAGGUCUGUUUGCAGAUGUCUAAACCAGAUGGCCAAGCACAAGAUCUCACGAUGCCUACAGAUCCAAGGCAACUUGUGUGCUUAUUACUCCAGCGAGAAAGAAGAGGAAUGGAAACCGUGGUGACAGUCUGGAUGUUGGCACAGCUGCUUUUCUCAGCCUCCCGCCUUCCAUCUGCCUAUUCCCACGGAGAACCUAAACAAGGAUUCUACUGGUGGGGAUUAGGAGUAGAGGUCUGGAAGGCAUUGCCUGCCUUUAAUCUAGGCUCAAGUCUCCUCACUCAUAAAAAUGGAAAUAAUACUAGAAUCUACCACAUAGAGUUGAAGGUGAGGAUUUAAUUAGGUAAUGCAUGUGAAAUGUUUACUGUCAGACACCUCCCUUCUCAGAAGGUCCAUUGUUAGGAGCUGGACCAGCCAGGGGAAUGAGCCUGGGAACUCUUCUUUCUACAUUGGUUUCUAUCUUCGGUGGGUUGAUUACAGUCCACCCCUUCCAAAAGAUAUGUCUGUGUCUCAACCCUCAGGACCUGUGAACAUGACCUUAGUUGGAGAAAUAAUUAAGGAUCUUGAGACGAAAUCAUUAGGACUCAAGGUAGCAGGUGUCCUUAUAGGAAAAGAGAGAAGGAGGCUGGAGACAGAGCAGAGGGGAGAAGCCAUGUGAGGAUGGAGAGAUGCAGCCACAAGCCACAAAAUGCAUCCACAAAAGGAUGGAGCUGGAGGAGGCAUGGAAGGGAUUGUUUCCUAGAGUUCCUGGAAGGACCACAGCCCUGUUGACACUGGAUUUUGGAAUUCUUCCCUUAGAACUGUGAGAAUAAAUUCGUGUUGUUUUGAGCACCCAGUUUGAGGUACUUUGUUAUGCCAGCCACAGGACACUCACACAGAUGUCCUUUCUUCUUGGCUGGGAUGCCCUGGGUACUUCAUGUGAAGCCUCUCUGAAUACUCCUACUGUCUGGGAACAGUCUCUGCUUAUACCAAUUACAGGAAAGGAGGGAAUUUCUCUUUAGAGACCAGUAACAGCAGCCGACAUAGUUGUGGUUUGCGGUGUUCCCACCCUGUGCUCUGACCCG